UACACACCGCCCGUCACACCAUGGGAGUGGGUCCACCAGAAGUAGUUAGCCUAACGCAAGAGGGCGACUACCACGGUGAGAGUUCAUGACUGGGUG
rnacentral:rRNA from 1 species